rnacentral:rRNA from 1 species
UACGAAGGGUGCAAGCGUUAAUCGGAAUUACUGGGCGUAAAGGGCGCGUAGGCGGCUUGACAAGUCAAAGGUGAAAUCCCUCGGCUCAACUGAGGAACUGCCUUUGAAACUGUCUGGCUUGAGGCCGGGAGGGGGUAGCGGAAUUCCCAGUGUAGCGGUGAAAUGCGUAGAUAUUGGGAGGAACACCAGUGGCGAAGGCGGCUACCUGGACCGGUUCUGACGCUGAUGCGCGAAAGCGUGGGUAGCAAACAGG